ensembl:snRNA U6 U6 spliceosomal RNA
GUUCUUGCUUUGGCAACUUGCAUGUACACUGGAACAACACAGAGAAGGUUAGUAUGGCCCCUCUGCAAGGAUCAUGUGCAAAUUUAUGAAGCACUCCGUAUAUUU